UGGGGAAUAUUGGACAAUGGGGGAAACCCUGAUCCAGCAAUGCCAUGUGUGUGAAGAAGGCCUGCGGGUUGUAAAGCACUUUCAGUGGGGAAGAGGGGUGUUGAGUUGAAUAGGCUUGAUGCUUGACGUUACCCACAGAAGAAGCACCGGCUAACUCCGUGCCAGCAGCCGCGGUAAUACGGAGGGUGCGAGCGUUAAUCGGAAUUACUGGGCGUAAAGCGCGCGUAGGCGGCUGAGUAAGUCAGAUGUGAAAGCCCCGGGCUCAACCUGGGAAUGGCAUUUGAGACUGCUCGGCUAGAGUCUGUCAGAGGGUGGCGGAAUUCCGGGUGUAGCGGUGAAAUGCGUAGAUAUCCGGAGGAACAUCGGUGGCGAAGGCGGCCACCUGGGGCAAGACUGACGCUGAGGGGCGAAAGCGUGGGGAGCGAACAGGAUUAGAUACCCCCGUAGUCC
rnacentral:rRNA from 1 species